rnacentral:rRNA from 1 species
UACGAAGGGUGCUAGCGUUGCUCGGAAUCACUGGGCGUAAAGCGCACGUAGGCGGAUUGUUAAGUCGGGGGUGAAAUCCUGGAGCUCAACUCCAGAACUGCCUUUGAUACUGAAGAUCUUGAGUUCGGGAGAGGUGAGUGGAACUGCGAGUGUAGAGGUGAAAUUCGUAGAUAUUCGCAAGAACACCAGUGGCGAAGGCGGCUCACUGGCCCGAUACUGACGCUGAGGCACGAAAGCUUGGGUAGCAAACAGG